rnacentral:rRNA from 1 species
CUAUGCGCCUUGCCAGCCCGCUCAGGUGUGCCAGCCGCCGCGGUAAUACGGAGGAUGCGAGCGUUAUCCGGAUUUAUGGGUUUAAAGGGUGCGUAGGCGGGCUGUUAAGUCAGCGGUCAAAUGUCGGGGCUCAACCCCGGCCUGCCGUUGAAACUGGUGGCCUCGAGUGGGCGAGAAGUAUGCGGAAUGCGUGGUGUAGCGGUGAAAUGCAUAGAUAUCACGCAGAACUCCGAUUGCGAAGGCAGCAUACCGGCGCCCGACUGACGCUGAGGCACGAAAGCGUGGGUAUCGAACAGG